rnacentral:misc_RNA from 1 species
UGUGGUGAAGGUCACAAAUAUGGCUUCGUCCACAGCAAGACGAUUUUUACUGAAUGCAGUCUGCAAACAGAGCUUUUGGCCUCAAGCAGGAAGUGGCAUCUAUCAUAGCUACUCUACAGCUGCAACAGCUCUGGAGCCGAAUUUAUUUGCCAAGUAUGGAGGACGCAACACAGUUACUAUGUUGACAGGGGAUGGAGUAGGUCCAGAACUUCUUGGACAUUUGCAGGAGAUUUUCAGGUAUGCUGGGGCUCCCAUAGACUUCGAACGGGUGGAUAUAAAUGCCUCUACAACAGAUCCUGCAACUAUGGAAAAUGCACUGUUGUCUGUGCGCAGAAACGGAGUGGCUAUAAAGGGAAACAUUGAGACAAAAUUUGAUGAUCCAUCUUUUCGCUCUAUGAAUGUAUCUUUAAGAAAGAAACUUGACCUACAUACCAACAUUGUUUGCUGCAAGUCUUUCCCUGGAGUAGAGACCCGUCACACUUUUGUUGACAUUGUCCUUAUACGGGAGAACACUGAGGGGGAAUAUUCUUCUCUUGAGCAUGAGAAUGUGCCAGGUGUUGUGGAAAGUCUCAAGAUUAUAACUUCAGCCAAGUCCAAGAGGAUUGCACGCUAUGCGUUUGAGUUUGCAUCAAAACAUGGCCGCAAGAAAGUGACAGCCAUCCACAAAGCCAACAUCAUGAAACUUGCAGAUGGGCUGUUUCUACAGUGCUGUAGAGAUGUGGCCAAGGACUAUCCCAACAUCGAAUUCAAUGAUAUGAUCAUUGAUAAUGCCAGCAUGCAGAUGGUGUCCAGGCCACAACAGUUUGAUGUGCUUGUCAUGCCCAAUCUGUAUGGAAACAUCCUUAGUAACAUUGCUGCAGGUCUUGUUGGGGGUGCAGGCCUAGUUCCUGGCAUGAAUAUUGGUGAUUGCUAUGCUGUCUUUGAAACAGGCACAAGAAACUCUGGUCGUUCUGUGAAAGGAAAGAAUAUUGCCAACCCUACAGGCAUGCUUCUUGCAGGUUGUGACAUGUUGGAUUACCUUGGUAAUCAUCGACAUGCUACUAUAAUCAGAGAAUCUGUGAUGUCCAUUCUGUCUGAUCCAGAGUUCCAAACACCAGAUCUUUGUGGAAAAGCCACAACCACAGAUGUGGUAAAGGCUAUUAUUGAAGACAUCAAGCCAAAAACAAGAACUUGGAUGUGAUUUUGGACCUUUGAAGGAGGAUAACCAGGAGUGAUCUGAUCUGCAGUGUAAUGUAAAAGAACACAAGUUUGGAGGAUCUAAAAUAAACCCUGAUGGCAGAGUCAAUGUAUCAAGCUCAGAAAAGCAGACACUUCAGACAGCCUAUGCAGUAUAAUACUAUAUAGUAUAAGUAUAAUACCAUCUGUACUUUCAGUCAUGAACUGCUUACUCUCACAGUUGUUGAGACCAAAUAGUAGUUUGUUUACAUCUCAUUUUGCAGCUUGAAGACAUAGUCAUGGCUCAGGCUACAAACAUUUAACAAUUCUCACUUCUUCUGUCUGGGUCUUUUAUAUUGAAUGCUUCAGUUGCACAAGAGUCCUAUAAUCUGGAUGUUCAUCUGUAUUAUAGAAAGGGAAAGUGCAGAAAUGUUACUAUUUCAUAUUUGAUACCCAUGAAACUUCACAGCUAAUUGAAGGUUAUUGUAGAAACUUGCUGCUCUGUCUUCGUUCCAGUUGCCCAUUAUUGUGCAAGGAGUAUGGCAUGUGUGCAUCUGCAUGUAUAAAAAAGUGUUUUCUGAGUAUGUACAGAUACUACCAGUGAUAUUAUUUGUUCUCCGUUGUAGAUUUAUCUCAAGAGUGCACUAUGUUGCAAACAUACAAGAAAAAUAAAAAUGUAUAAAGGCAUUUAUUGACUGAAUCUGCUGCCUACCUACCUUUAAAAUGUAUUUUGUGAUAAUGCGUUAUGACACAGUCUCUUAAGGUCUGUUUAAUAAAGAUUUAAAAAUGUAA